rnacentral:lncRNA from 1 species
UGAUUUCAACAUUCUUUCGAAAGCAUAGCUUUAUGCCACUUUCAUCACAUAUACACUAUUAUAUUUACUUCCCUUUUUAUUAGUGUUGGGUGUAAUGAAUGAUCCCUCUCCCUCUCUUUCUCUCCUCUGACACGAUGAGAGAGAGAGAGAGAGGAGCACAGAAACCCUAGAAUGAAUUUUCUAUUUUUUCAUCAUCUCUCUCUCUCGUUUCUUUCAACUUUCAACGCCAGCAGAAUUAAACCCAUCAUCAACAAUCAUGUCCUCUUACCAUUAUUCUCUCCAUCAUCAUCAUUGCUCCCACUUCAUUCCCACACAACUCAAAACGCCAUCAUUAAGAGAGAGAUUAUUGGAAAAGCAAAUUAGCCCCCGUAAUGUCUUUCAUGUGUACCGGAUGGCUAUCUUAAUCAAUCUAGCUCUUGGUUUCGAGUGAAGGGUUGUGUUUUCCUUUCAGGUUUCAACACUUUGAAGUCUUUGACUUUUGGGGAAUCAAGCGUCUUGGUCCGAUCAUUUAAUUUGCUACGUCAAGCAAGUUUAGGUUUCUCCAUCUUCUCAACCGGUUUAAUUUCUUUGUUCUGUUAACCUAUAUGAAUGUUUAGAUCUUGUUACCUUGUGAUAUGAGGGUGUAUAAUAAUUAUUAUUUUUUUGUUUCCAUUUGGUUUUUGAGUAUGAGAUUAUGAUAUUAUGCUUUCAGGAUGAGGGGAAAAAAAAAAAAAAGGUGAUUUUGUAAUUUCUGUUAGAAGAUCGCUCCACGAUCUCUCUCUUGCUACCAUAAUUUUCUUUUCCUUUCUGUCUACUCAAACUGAGUGUGUUGAAGUUGUUAUGUUAAGCAGAUCUACUUUGUUUGCUGAAGGCAUGCAGUGGAUCUCCAAUUAGGGUUUGUGGCUCUUGCUUCCGAUUUGACAAAUAUAUGGUCUCGUAGUCCGUUAUAAAUCGAAAUCCAUGAUAUCAUCAGAGAUUUAUAAAGCAUAUAUAUAAUAUGAAAUCUCAACUGUGUUCUAAAACAUAUUACAUAGCAUAUUAUUUCUUGCUCAUAAAGUUGUUACUUACUUACUUACUGCAUAAAAAACAGGCAUCACAUGAGCAAGGCUUAUAUGAAAUUACUACGAUUAAAUACUCCACAUAUUUCAUCAUAUACUUCCUAUCACAUCGCUAGUAUUUUAAUUGGUUUGUAACUUGUAUUCAUCUUCUUCUUCUUCUUCCAAGUGUGAUAUAGGUAAUUAAACAUCAGGUGCAUAUAUACAAUAAAUUAUUAAGAAACAAUAAUAUAACUUAAAACAUUCAUCCAAUAUUGAAUGAACUAGCACAAGGAUUGGUAUGUUGAAUAUCUUAGUUAUGCUUGGCAGGGC